UCCAAACCCACCCUUUCUGUUUGCAGCUGUAAUGCUGGGUAGAAAGAGUGCAUUUAACAGUUAUUUGGUUUAUUUGAUUGAAGCUGGGUCCUUCCCAGCAGUGCCUUGUCCCAGCAGUGCCAUAUAAUGAAUCUCUGUAUCCAGUUGUUGCAUCAGGAAAGCAAGAGUGGAACAGUACUUCUAGGGAACCACUUGGGUGCCCAGCUGCUGUCCAUUCUCUACACUUAUCCCACCUGAUGGAAGGCUGUUAAGAAAAACAUCACUGCAAUGCCUAAUAAACAGACAUGGGUCCCAGACCCAAUAAGAGUGAAACCAUCCCCCUAUUUAAAUGAAAUUAUGGCUGAUGAGAAAGACAAAUUAAUUUCUCUGUCCCUAGUAUUACACAAAACUUUGGAUGCUGCCAUUGUUACAAUUUUAUUUUCCCCAGGAGCUCAGAGUCCCACCUUCAUUCUUUUUGUUUAAUGCUUAAGCUUGCCUGUCCACCUAUGGAAGACUAGAAUGAGCAAAGACCAUGUAUUCAAUGAUCUGUAAAUCUAACAGGAAACAAUAUAAUAAAUAUAUUGUGUUUGCUAACCAAAUCUGUGAAUGAUUAGAUCGACUGGUUAAUGAUUAGAUGGAUUAACACAUCAUUUCUAUUUUCUCUCUCCUCCCCUACUUCUUGUUUUAAUGAUACCUUCCAAGUUUUAUUUCUCCAAGCCUAACCCCUUACAUAAUACAAGAGGACAACAGUUUGCAAAAUAAAUAUCUGUUGGCCCUAACUGGUAAAUACUGAAAUAGAUUUCAAGUAAUGUGAGUGUUUUUGAAACCACCUAAAUCUGUAAGCCACCCUGCAAGGAACAAGGGUAGCAAAGUGAAUAAGCCAGACAUGUAAAAAUAAAGAUGACAAAAUGGAAGGCAAUUAAUGCCUGUAAUGGAGGUGGGGAAGGGGGGAAUGACAAGUUAAUAAGAAAUUUAUUUUUAAAUGCUAUCAUCUGCCAUAAAAUAUCCAUGCUUAUUUUAGAAAAUAUGUAAAAUGUUUAAGAAUUAAACAUCUUUAAAAAAAUCACAUGAACUCAUCACCCUGCAACAAAACACACACAGAUGAGUGCACACACUUAAACACACAUUAAUUUUCAAUUAGUAUAUAAAGUUAAUAUCCUGCUAAGUACAAGAUACUAUAUCAUGAGCACUUUGUCUC
rnacentral:lncRNA from 1 species